rnacentral:rRNA from 1 species
UCCUNUGGCUUAACUGGGGGCUUGCGGUGGGUACGGGCCGGCUUGAGUGCGGUAGGGGAGGCUGGAACUCCUGGUGUAGCGGCGGAAUGCGCAGAUAUCAGGAAGAGCACCGGUGGCGAAGGCGGGUCUCUGGGCCGUUACUGACGCUGAGGAGCGAAAGCGUGGGGAGCGAACAGGAUUAGAUACCCUGGUAGUCCACGCCGUAAACGUUGGGCACUAGGUGUGGGGGGCCUUUUCCGGGUUUUCCGCGCCGUAGCUAACGCAUUAAGUGCCCCGCCUGGGGAGUACGGCCGCAAGGCUAAAACUCAAAGGAAUUGACGGGGGCCCGCACAAGCGGCGGAGCAUGCGGAUUAAUUCGAUGCAACGCGAAGAACCUUACCAAGGCUUGACAUGUGCCGGUCGGCUCCGGAGACGGGGUUUCCUCCUUGUGGGGCCGGUUCACAGGUGGUGCAUGGUUGUCGUCAGCUCGUGUCGUGAGAUGUUGGGUUAAGUCCCGCAACGAGCGCAACCCUUGUCUCGUGUUGCCAGCACGUUGUGGUGGGGACUCGCGGGAGACUGCCGGGGUCAACUCGGAGGAAGGUGGGGAUGACGUCAAAUCAUCAUGCCCCUUAUGUCUUGGGCUUCACGCAUGCUACAAUGGCCGGUACAGAGGGCUGCGAUACUGUGAGGUGGAGCGAAUCCCUUAAAGCCGGUCUCAGUUCGGAUCGGUGUCUGCAACUCGACACCGUGAAGUUGGAGUCGCUAGUAAUCGCAGAUCAGCAACGCUGCGGUGAAUACGUUCUCGGGCCUUGUACACACCGCCCGUCACGUCAUGAAAGUCGGCAACACC